UACGUAGGGCGCAAGCGUUAUCCGGAAUUAUUGGGCGGAAAGAGCUCGUAGGCGGUUUGUCGCGUCUGCCGUGAAAGUCCGGGGCUCAACUCCGGAUCUGCGGUGGGUACGGGCAGACUAGAGUGAUGUAGGGGAGACUGGAAUUCCUGGUGUAGCGGUGAAAUGCGCAGAUAUCAGGAGGAACACCGAUGGCGAAGGCAGGUCUCUGGGCAUUAACUGACGCUGAGGAGCGAAAGCAUGGGGAGCGAACAGG
rnacentral:rRNA from 1 species